GGUGAACGCUGGCGGCGUGCUUAAGACAUGCAAGUCGAACGGCAGUCUUCGGACUGUAGUGGCGCACGGGUGAGUAACGCGUAACUGACCUACCCCAAAGUCGCCGAUAACGAUUCGAAAGAAUCGCUAAUACGUGAUGUGCUGUCAGAUCCUGUUCUGCCAGUAAAGAUUGAUUGCUUUGGGAUGGGGUUGCGUUCCAUUAGCUAGUUGGUGGGGUAAAGGCCCACCAAGGCGACGACGGAUAGCCGGCCUGAGAGGGUGGCCGGCCACAGGGGCACUGAGACACGGGUCCCACUCCUACGGGAGGCAGCAGUUAGGAAUCUUCCACAAUGGGCGAAAGCCUGAUGGAGCGACGCCGCGUGAGGGAUGAAGGUCUUCGGAUCGUAAACCUCUGAAUCAGGGACGAAAGACACUUCGGUGGGAUGACGGUACCUGAGUAAUAGCACCGGCUAACUCCGUGCCAGCCGCCGCGGUAACAC
rnacentral:rRNA from 1 species